GGGAGAAGGAAGGACGGGUUCCGGCCGACGGCGGGCCACCCCCUCCCCGGGGCAAAGGGUUCCCUAAUUGCCGGGAUGAGCCUUAUUUGCUCCAGAGUAAACCCAGCAGGGAUGACACCUGAGUAAAGGUGCGCCGGCUCCAAGCCCGUCCACUCUGUCCGCUGGAUGCCCGGCCCGAACCAGAAAUCCUGGCCUCGCUGGGAUGGCCACCUGAAGUCAGAGAUCGGGACUUACUUUGGAGGUUGGCUAGCGCUCCCAAUGGUAUGCUCGCUUGUCAGAAAGAAUCACUGAAUUGAGCAGGAAUGGAAGAGGACUCUACUCUUGCCGCCCAAGAGACCCAAAAGUCUCCCCGUUUGUUCAUAAAUAAGUUCCACCUAGUUCAGCAGGACUUACUCCCAAGUAAGUGUGUUACUAGAACUGUGGCCUUCUUUGCUCGGAGCCCAGGCGAUGGUGUUUUUAAACGCUUCAACCAAAGAGACGCAAGCAGAUCCCUGGAAACAAACCCAUGGCAUGGGGGAAAACCACCUGGGUUUUUCUGUUCCUGUUUGGUUUCCGGCCCUUUGGGUACCCGAUGGAGCCUUUAAUUGGCUCAAAACGAUCCGUCUGCCUAAAUCCAGGUUUCCGGCCAUCCUGAUAGAAACAUGGUUUGUGGAUUAUUUUUUAAUGAACUCAGAAAAGCAAAAAAAAGCAAA